ACGGGAGGCAGCAGUGGGGGAUAUUGCACAAUGGGGGAAACCCUGAUGCAGCGACGCCGCGUGAGUGAUGAAGUAUUUCGGUAUGUAAAGCUCUAUCAGCAGGGAAGAAAAUGACGGUACCUGACUAAGAAGCACCGGCUAAAUACGUGCCAGCAGCCGCGGUAAUACGUAUGGUGCAAGCGUUAUCCGGAUUUACUGGGUGUAAAGGGAGCGUAGACGGCAUAGCAAGCCAGAUGUGAAAGGUGGGGGCUCAACCCCCAAGCUGCAUUUGGAACUGUUAAGCUAGAGUAUCGGAGAGGUAAGUGGAAUUCCUAGUGUAGCGGUGAAAUGCGUAGAUAUUAGGAGGAACACCAGUGGCGAAGGCGGCUUACUGGACUGUAACUGACGUUGAGGCUCGAAAGCGUGGGGAGCAAACAGGAUUAGAUACCCUGGUA
rnacentral:rRNA from 2 species